UAUCUUAUUUAAUGGUUUGCUUGAUGAAUUAAUAACCUUUUUCUCUAGAGAUUUAUUGUUAAGUAAAGGAGUCAAGCCAAGUUUUGAUUUAUCACAAGCAACAUAUUGGCUUUCAAACAUCAUUUUUAAUCGUUCUGAACUUACGGUGAAUUUGUUAAUAAAAGAUUUUAAUUGAUUAAUUUCUUUACUUAAGUUUUGAUUUUCUUUAAUUAAGCUAUGAUUU
rnacentral:lncRNA from 1 species